rnacentral:rRNA from 1 species
GACGAACGCUGGCGGCGUGCUUAACACAUGCAAGUCGAACGGAAAGGCCCUGCUUUUGUGGGGUGCUCGAGUGGCGAACGGGUGAGUAACACGUGAGUAACCUGCCCUUGACUUUGGGAUAACUUCAGGAAACUGAGGCUAAUACCGGAUAGGAGCUCCUGCUGCAUGGUGGGGGUUGGAAAGUUUCGGCGGUUGGGGCUGGACUCGCGGCUUAUGAGCUUGUUGGUGGGGUAGUGGCUUACCAAGGCUUUGACGGGUAGCCGGCCUGAGAGGGUGACCGGCCUCCUGGGGACUGCGAUACGGCCCAGUCGCCUACGGUAGGCAGCAGUGGGGAAUAUUGCACAAUGGGCGGAAGCCUGAUGCAGCAACGCCGCGUUCGGGAUGACGUCCUUCGGGUUGUAAACCGCUUUCGCCUGUGACGAAGCGUGAGUGACGGUAAUGGGUAAAGAAGCACCGGCUAACUACGUG